rfam:Populus trichocarpa isolate Nisqually-1 chromosome 8, whole genome shotgun sequence.
AUACCUUUCUCGGCCUUUUGGCUAAGAUCAAGUGUAGUAUCUGUUCUUAUCAGUUUAAUAUCUGAUAUGUGGGUCAAUGGUCCACACGAUAUUAAAUUAAUUUUUCAAGGGUGAGGACCCAUCACAGCAGCUUGCUGCUGGGGUUCCCGAGCGUCGCCUCUGUGUUGCACUACUGCAGAUGCCAGGCGCACCCUCC